rnacentral:rRNA from 1 species
CCUGAACGCUGGCGGCGUGGCUAAGACAUGCAAGUCGCACGGACGUAGCAAUACGUCAGUGGCGAACGGGUGAGUAAUGAAUCGCUAACGUACCCCGGACUCUGGGAGUAGCUGCCCGAAACGGGACAGGUAAUACCAGAUGACAUAACUCUGUCGCAUGACAGGGUUCUCAAAGGUCCGCCGGUCUGGGAGCGGGCGAUUUCGUAUCAGCUAGUUGGUGAGGUAACGGCNCACCAAGGCGACGACGCGUAGCCGGACUGAGAGGUUGGCCGGCCACAUUGGGACUGAGACACUG